CCCUUUGCAGGAAUAAGAGGAAAAAGUGGAUAAUUAAGGAUUAUGACAGAGGACAGCCAGGUUUGUGAUGGUGAGUAUUUUUUAAUAUUAUAAAGAUUAGCCAGGUUCUUCCCUUUGCAGGAAUAAGAGGAAAAAGUGGAUAAUUAACGAUUAUGACACAGGACAGCCAGGUUUGUGAUGGUGAGUAUUUUUUAAUAUUAUACAGAUUAUCCAGGUUCUUCCCUUUGCAGGAAUAAGAGAAAAAAGUGGAUAAUUAACGAUUAUGACACAGGACAGCCAGGUUUGUGAUGGUGAGUAUUUUUUAAUAUUAUACAGAUUAUCCAGGUUCUUCCCUUUGCAGGAAUAAGAGGAAAAAGUGGAUAAUUAAGGAUUAUGACACAGGACAGCCAGGUUUGUGAUGGUGAGUAUUUUUAAAUAUUAUAUAGAUGAUCCAGGUUCUUCCCUUUGCAGGAAUAAGAGGAAAAAGUGGAUAAUUAAGGAUUAUGACAGAGGACAGCCAGGUUUGUGAUGGUGAGUAUUUUUUAAUAUUAUAUAGAUGAGCCAGGUUCUUCCCUUUGCAGGAAUAAGAGGAAAAAGUGGAUAAUUAAGGAUUAUGACAGAGGACAGCCAGGUUUGUGAUGGUGAGUAUUUUUAAAUAUUAUACAGAUUAUCCAGGUUCUUCCCUUUGCAGAAAUAAGAGGAAAAAGUGGAUAAUUAACGAUUAUGACACAGGACAGCCAGGUUUGUGAUGGUGAGUAUUUUUUAAUAUUAUACAGAUUAUCCAGGUUCUUCCCUUUGCAGGAAUAAGAGAAAAAAGUGGAUAAUUAACGAUUAUGACACAGGACAGCCAGGUUUGUGAUGGUGAGUAUUUUUUAAUAUUAUAUAGAUGAGCCAGGUUCUUCCCUUUGCAGGAAUAAGAGGAAAAAGUGGAUAAUUAAGGAUUAUGACAGAGGACAGCCAGGUUUGUGAUGGUGAGUAUUUUUAAAUAUUAUAUAGAUGAGCCAGGUUCUUCCCUUUGCAGAAAUAAGAGGAAAAAGUGGAUAAUUAACGAUUAUGACACAGGACAGCCAGGUUUGUGAGGGUGAGUAUUUUUAAAUAUUAUAUAGAUGAGCCAGGUUCUUCCCUUUGCAGGAAUAAGAGGAAAAAGUGGAUAAUUAACGAUUAUGACACAGGACAGCCAGGUUUGUGAGGGUGAGUAUUUUUAAAUAUUAUAUAGAUGAGCCAGGUUCUUCCCUUUGCAGAAAUAAGAGGAAAAAGUGGAUAAUUAACGAUUAUGACACAGGACAGCCAGGUUUGUGAGGGUGAGUAUUUUUAAAUAUUAUAUAGAUGAGCCAGGUUCUUCCCUUUGCAGAAAUAAGAGGAAAAAGUGGAUAAUUAACGAUUAUGACACAGGACAGCCAGGUUUGUGAGGGUGAGUAUUUUUAAAUAUUAUAUAGAUGAGCCAGGUUCUUCCCUUUGCAGAAAUAAGAGGAAAAAGUGGAUAAUUAACGAUUAUGACACAGGACAGCCAGGUUUGUGAGGGUGAGUAUUUUUAAAUAUUAUAUAGAUGAGCCAGGUUCUUCCCUUUGCAGGAAUAAGAGGAAAAAGUGGAUAAUUAAGGAUUAUGACAGAGGACAGCCAGGUUUGUGAUGGUGAGUAUUUUUUAAUAUUAUAUAGAUGAGCCAGGUUCUUCCCUUUGCAGGAAUAAGAGGAAAAAGUGGAUAAUUAAGGAUUAUGACACAGGACAGCCAGGUUUGUGAUGGUGAGUAUUUUUUAAUAUUAUAAAGAUUAGCCAGGUUCUUCCCUUUGCAGGAAUAAGAGGAAAAAGUGGAUAAUUAAGGAUUAUGACACAGGACAGCCAGGUUUGUGAUGGUGAGUAUUUUUUAAUAUUAUAUAGAUGAGCCAGGUUCUUCCCUUUGCAGGAAUAAGAGGAAAAAUUGGGUAAUUAAGGAUUAUGAUACAGGACAGCCAGGUUUGUUAUGGUGAGUAUUUUUUAAUAUUAUAAAGAUGAGCCAGGUUCUUCCCUUUGCAGGAAUAAGAAGAAAAAGUGGAUAAUUAAGGAUUAUGACACAGGACAGCCAGGUUUGUGAUGGUGAGUAUUUUUUAAAUAUUAUACAGAUUAUCCAGGUUCUUCCCAUUGCAGAAAUAAGAGGAAAAAGUGGAUAAUUAAGGAUUAUGACAGAGGACAGCCAGGUUUGUGAUGGUGAGUAUUUUUUAAUAUUAUACAGAUUAUCCAGGUUCUUCCCUUUGCAGGAAUAAGAGGAAAAAGUGGAUAAUUAAGGAUUAUGACACAGGACAGCCAGGUUUGUGAUGGUGAGUAUUUUUUAAUAUUAUACAGAUUAUCCAGGUUCUUCCCUUUGCAGGAAUAAGAGGAAAAAGUGGAUAAUUAACAAUUAUGACACAGGACAGCCAGGUUUGUGAUGGUG